UAUUCAAAUCUACUAAGAAAGUGAUAAUUUGCUAUGGUUCUAAGGCCCUUUACUUCGACUGUCUUGUCGUCAUAAGUUUAUGAUAUCACUUUGGCUUUAAAUAUCGCAUUUCCACUUAGAUUAGCGGGUCGCAUAUUGUUGAUACUUCACAAUAAUAUGACCUUACCAUUAAGGAUAAGCAUGUGGAUAAUUACUUAUCAUGGUGUGAAGACUUGAAUUUCCCCAAAUUAAUUUGAAUUAAGAGGAAUCUUGUUGCCUAGA
rnacentral:misc_RNA from 1 species